rnacentral:piRNA from 1 species
CCAAGCAUCAGUACUGGAUCACCAGGCUUGU